AGUGAACGCUGGCGGUAGGCCUAACACAUGCAAGUCGAACGGCAGCACAGUAAGAGCUUGCUAUUACGGGUGGAGAGUUGAGGACGGGUGCGGAAUACAUCGGAAUCUACUUUUUCGUGGGGGGUAACGUAGGGUAACUUACGCUAAUACCUCAUACGAACUACGGGUGAAAGCAGGGGAUCUUCGGACCUUGCGCGAUUGAAUGAGCCGAUGUCGGAUUAGCUAGUUGGCGGGGUAAAGGCCCACCAAGGCGACGGUCCGUAGCUGGUCUGAGAGGAUGAUCAGCCACACUGGAACUGAGACACGGCCCAGACUCCUACGGGAGGCAGCAGUGGGGAAUAUUGGACAAUGGGCGCAAGCCUGAUCCAGCCAUACCGCGUGGGUGAAGAAGGCCUUCGGGUUGUAAAGCCCUUUUGUUGGGAAAGAAAAGCAGCAGGUUAAUACCGCGCUGUUCUGACGGUACCCAAAGAAUAAGCACCGGCUAACUUCGUG
rnacentral:rRNA from 1 species